CCUGGUGUCUGGCUCUGGGCGCUUUGCGGUGGUUUAAUGGCGGUCGGUGUUGCAGGCGCUUGGGCCUUUUACUUAAGGUGUCGCUUAAUAGACUUCAGAAGACACAGGCAGGUGAAGGGCACCGGGUCCCUAGCGAGUUAGCAAGCACCGUGUGUAUACCUGGCACGCUCAGGAGGACCCAAGAUACAAACCCAGAGCCUUCCCAUAUGGCCUCCAGUGUCUCACUGCAGGGGUCACACCACUACAGCACUUCAGCUGGGCCGGAAAGGAUAUUACUGGACAACCUGGAGUCAUCAGACCAAAUCAGAAUAACAGAAUUUCCAGAAACAGGCAGCAGACAGUGGCACAGCAGUAGAACACCCGCUCU